rnacentral:rRNA from 1 species
CCUACGGGUGGCUGCAGUGAGGAAUAUUCGUCAAUGGACGAGAGUCUGAACCAGCGACGUAGCGUGAAGGAUGACUGCCCUAUGGGUUGUAAACUUCUUUUAUAUGGGAAUAAAAUGUUACACGUGUGGGAUUUUGUAUGUACCAUAUGAAUAAGGAUCGGCUAACUCCGUGCCAGCAGCCGCGGUAAUACGGAGGAUCCGAGCGUUAUCCGGAUUUAUUGGGUUUAAAGGGAGCGUAGGUGGGUUGUUAAGUCAGUUGUGAAAGUUUGCGGCUCAACCGUAAAAUUGCAGUUGAAACUGGCAAUCUUGAGUACAGUAGAGGUGAGCGGAAUUCGUGGUGAAGCGGUGAAAUGCUUAGAUAUCUCGAAGAACUCCGAUUGCGAAGGCAGUUCACUGGACUGCAACUGACACUGAGGCUCGAAAGUGUGGGUAUCAAACAGGAUUAGAUACCCCAGUAGUC